rnacentral:rRNA from 1 species
UACGGGGGGAGCAAGCGUUGUUCGGAUUUACUGGGCGUAAAGGGCGCGUAGGCGGUCAGCACAAGUCAGUUGUGAAAUCUCCGGGCUUAACUCGGAAAGGUCAACUGAUACUGUGCGACUAGAGUGCAGAAGGGGCAACCGGAAUUCUCGGUGUAGCGGUGAAAUGCGUAGAUAUCGAGAGGAACACCUGCGGCGAAGGCGGGUUGCUGGGCUGACACUGACGCUGAUGCGCGAAAGCAAGGGGAGCGAACGGG